rnacentral:tRNA from 7 species
ACCUGUCUAGCUCAGUUGGUAAAAUAUAAGGCUCUUGACCUUUUGGUCGUGAGUUCGAGCCCUACGGGGA